rnacentral:lncRNA from 1 species
GUACAGCCAGCGUUUCGCCAUGUUGACCAGGCUGGUCUGGAACUCCUGACCUCAUGUGAUCCACCCGUCUCGGCCUCCCAAAGUGCUGGGAUUACAGGCGUGAGCCACCGCGUGCCCAGACAACUCCUGCUGCCUCUUCACCUCUAAUGUUUCCCAUCUCAUCUCCGAAGAGCAGCCAAGCAGAAGCUCAAAAGAACCGCUCCAGCUCCCCCCUGCUCCCAGGACCUGCUCAGACCCGGGGGGAUGUCAUGGCCCGGAUCUGUCUGUCUUGUCUACAGGUAGAGGGCGGCUUAUCUGUCCCCAGUAGACCCUGUCUGUACCCCUCUCACCCCAUGAGACCCUACCUCGGCCUCUCCUUCUCGCUGAGACAUCUCCUCCCUCCCUGGUCCUCCACCUUCAGGUCCUCACGGCUGAGAGCCCCUGGCAGCUCCGGGAAUUAUCGGGCGGCAUCCUGACUCCCGCCUUGCUCCUCAGACCCCUCCCCACACCCUGGCCCAUUCCGGGUACAAGGGCGACUUGGUUGCCUUCAUUAUAGACUAUAGCAC